rnacentral:rRNA from 1 species
UACAGGGGGUGCAAACGUUGCUCGGAAUUAUUGGGCGUAAAGCGCGCGUAGGCGGCCACUUAAGUCGGAUGUGAAAGCCCCGUGGACUCCAACUGGGGAAGUGCACCCGAAACUGAAUGGCUUGAGUGCGAAAGAGGGUCGCGGAAUUCCCGGUGUAGAGGGUGAAAUUCGUAGAUAUCGGGAGGAACACCAGGUGGCGAAGGC